AGAACGAACGCUGGCGGCGUGGAUAAGACAUGCAAGUCGAACGCGAUUUAUCAGGUUAGCAAUAACUUGGUAAAUUGAGUGGCGAAAGGGUGCGUAACACGUGGGAAUUUACCGAGAAGUGGGGAAUAGCUCGACGAAAGUCGAAUUAAUACCGCAUACGAUCGAAAGAUCAAAGCCGGGGACCGCAAGGCCUGGCGCUUUUUGAGAAGCCCGCGGCCCAUCAGCUAGUUGGCGGGGUAAAAGCCCACCAAGGCUAUGACGGGUAGCUGGUCUGAGAGGACGACCAGCCACACUGGAGCUGAGACACGGUCCAGACACCUACGGGUGGCAGCAGUCGAGAAUUUUUUCACAAUGGACGAAAGUCUGAUGGAGCGACGCCGCGUGGAGGAUGAAGGUUCUUGGAUUGUAAACUCCUGUCACUGCAGAACAAGGAUACGUGUGUGUAGUAAGUCGACUAGUCGUAGUUUAGUAGUAGGUUAGUAGUCGGAGGAGGGAAGGGAACGGGGACGUAACGUACGUCGU
rnacentral:rRNA from 1 species